rnacentral:rRNA from 1 species
UACGAAGGGGGCUAGCGUUGCUCGGAAUCACUGGGCGUAAAGCGCACGUAGGCGGAUUGCUAAGUCAGGGGUGAAAUCCUGGAGCUCAACUCCAGAACUGCCCUUGGUACUGGCGGUCUCGAAUCCGGGAGAGGUGAGUGGAACUGCGAGUGUAGAGGUGAAAUUCGUAGAUAUUCGCAAGAACACCAGUGGCGAAGGCGGCUCACUGGCCCGGUACUGACGCUGAGGUGCGAAAGCGUGGGGAGCAAACAGG